CGACAUUGACGAACGUGGUUCUCCCAGACACAACCAGAAUACCGAUUGUACUUGAUGAUGUGAUAGAAUCAGCAACGAUAUCGAUUACUCCGCGUAAUCCGGUAAAAUUUUCGAAACAAUUGUUAGAGAAAUAUCAAUUCGCGAGUGAUUCGUAAACGCGAGUUUGUCACGUUUGUAAUUCGUAAUUUCUGUCACUGCGUAAACCGUCCAACCAUCAAUUUUCCAUUAAAAAAAAAUUUUUUAAUAUUAUUUUCAAGCACUCUUAAAUAAACCAGAUAUAUAAAUAAAAAUAAAAUAAUACCACGCUAAUUCAUGUAUAUUAACAAUGCGCGCCUACAUAAACGUAAAAUGUAAUUUAUUUUGAAUAUAAGACAAAUAAUCUAUUGUAAAAUUAAUUUGCGUCCAAUAUUAAAUUUUUUGUUUAAUAAUUAAAAUUUCAAUAACACAAUAAAAAGUGGUUAAAUUUUACAUCGCAACAAUUUACUUUGGCUACGUAAAUAACAGUCGGUCAAUAUCACUUGCUAUUAAUCAAACUUGCCAACACCAAUAGCUGCUGGGCAAAUUCUGUAGUUUACAAGGUUAUUUGUUGUUGGACUUGAUAAACAAAGUGGACUAUGAAGAUUGACGGGAAGCUUAUAAAUCUGCUUGGUGCAACAGGUAGGGCAAAGACGCAAGUCGAAGGAAAUUGUUUAAACGUUCGACCGAGACACAAUGCGAUCUUUUUUUCUUUUUUCUCUCCCUCCCCCCUAUCUCUCUUUUCCCUUAUCUUGAAUUAACGUGCAACAGGUGCGCUAGUAUGCGUCUCCGUCACGUAAGUCAGACAGAGUAAGUCAUCUUAAAGUUUCUCAUCGACGUUCCCUGACGCGUAUUUGAAAGCUACCUGCUGGCAUACGUCCACCGAUAGCGAAUAGACAAGUUAUUUCAAGCUAUACGAAAUGUAAUCAAGGAACACUAGCUUAUUGUUAGACUUGAAAAGUUGGUGCUAUCCUCAAUAAAAAUAGUCUCGGUAAAUAUAUAUAAUCGACGAUCCGAGCGAGAGAUAUUUUCAGAAUAAAAAUGAGCAAGGAUAAGCUCUACCUCGUGCACUACAUAAAAACGUACGUCCCUACAUUUUUUUUUUUUUUCAAAGAUUGACGUACGUCGCAGAAGAAUUUAGCUUGAAAUUGAGAUUAAAAAAUUUAUCACGUGCACUCUGAAGCAAUCUUGAGAAGUUGAAAUCACGAAAUAUUUCUACAGCAUCGAAACAAGCCUUGUUCGUCGCGAAAUUUACUCGCGGCUGCCGCGGAAGAGCCGAGUAUCUCAAAGAUUAGCGGUUUCCGAGCAACAAGUUGCGAAGAGCGUCAAUCCUAUCAGCCUGUUACAAGUAGGCGCGUAAAAUUUUUCAUUUGCCGAGUGCCAACGUCUUUCGUCGUCCGCGCUCCUGAUCUGUUCAAAACGCGAUCGUCCUAUCACGCGGUGCAACAGGUAGGCACUUAGUAUCCGUCUACGAUGUAGAAUUAAUUUUGCCGACGUGCCGCACACUUGUGUCUUCGCCGUCGCAGCAGCCUGUAUAGGAGUACAUAUUAACGACACACGAGAACAAUUCGCGUUCUACAUUACGCAACGAUACUACGGGAACGUAAUUGAGUUGAAUUCUACUUUACGUGAUAUGUGUAGUGAAAUAAUGCAAAAGGAUGUGGACAAAAUUAAAUCGCGCAGAAUAUUAAAAAUUCUACAUUCAUUAAAUAUUAACUUCUUUUUCUUCAUUUCUCUUGUGUGUUCUUGUGGACUUUCAUUUAUUAGUAGUAACAAAAUUAUCUUCGAUCUUUAUAAUAUGAUAGAUGAUUCUCUUUCAUAAAUGGAACUAUAAAAAUUUUAUCAGGCAUCAUAAAAAUACAAUACAACAUAUGGAUAUUUGUCCUCAUCUAUAUUCUUAUACAUUUGCCAUUAUUAUGCCUAUAUUAAAUUAUAUUAUUUAAAUUAGACGAUUAUCGUCGUCAUAUUUAUUUUUAAAAACUUUGGAUCAUUAUUAUUUUGGACUUUGUAACUCUUGAUUGAAGUGCAGCUUUCAAAUAAAAAUUUGGACUAUUUACCCAAAUAUGUUAGUAAAAUUAUGUAAUAUAAAAGUGAUGAAUUUUAAUAUUUUAUAUAAAAAUUAGUCACUAAAAUUAAUUAAGAUAUUCAGAAAUUUAUCAGUACAAUGUAAUUGUAGCUUGUUAAACGAAGGAAGAAUAUCAAAAUCUCUGCGAAAGUUGCAAGAUGAAUUGAGAAGCCAGUUAUAAAUGGCUUGAUCGUGCGAGAAAAAAGUGUUAUGGCCGAUAUGGCCUUCCCACAGGAAAGUAACGCGCAACAGGUAGCGACACGAUGUAACUUACGACAUGGAUUUCUAAUUAGCAGGUUCGCAGUCACCGGGAAUCCAUUCUCCUGGAUUACUUUCGGAUUUCGCGCAAAUCGGACGAUAACUAGAUGACAAAAUGCGGCACGUGUGUUUUAAUGCGAAGAGAGGAGGCGUGUUUGUGCAUCGAAAAUCCUGUGGUACGAUGUCGCCGCCGUCGUCGUCGUCGUCGCGCUUGAAAAAUCGAUAUUACGCGGCCGCGGCGCUGUGUAACAUAACAUAAUACACUAUAUCGCCGACGAUACAUGGAUCCUACGGGCUAUUUUAUCCCCGCGUAAAUUGUGCGUACGUUUGUAGGUGGUAAGUGUAGGCAAACACAAAUGCUAGGCGAAAACGUUUCAGUCAACGUUUUUGCCCAUUACUUUCAACCGUGGUGAAUCCCGGCUUAUUAAAAACGCAGUAUGCAACAGGUAAUAUGUAAUUUCUACACAGGCUCGUAAAUAAAUUAACUACGCGGAAGAGAUUUAAUUUCGCAUAAUAUACGUCUGUUACAGAAAUAAUUAUCAUUUAGCUGAGGGGAGCGCGAAAAAAGCGGCAACGUCAGGUUCGGCUAUCGACCGCUUACGCGUAACGUGACCCAAUUUGCAACAGAUCGGCAGCAUCCUCCGAUGCGACAAAUAAUAAUACACGCUACGCGCACCUGCGACCCGUAAAGUGUAUUCGUCCUGCGUAAAGCUUCGGCGUACGAUUCUCUCCGUCCCUCUCUAAAUUCCGAAUUGCAAGGUUCUUCCGCAGUAUGCUCUCGCUCGAACCCUUCGGAGUUGCGAAAACGAUCGCUGACGGGGAGAAACGUCACUUGGAGGGUGGGAAAAAAAAAGACGGCGAAAAUAGGGAAUCGGAUCGUUCGCAAGCGAGCACGUCGUACCGUUUUGGCGAGAUAAGACUGUCCGUCAAAGUCCGUGGUGGUCGAGUGGAAUUGAGAUAACCGAGUGUACGAUGGGCAAAAGAUGCGGGGAAAAACCGCGGUCUCGCUCGCCGCAGGAGCAGCUCUCUUGAUCGUAGUAGGUCGUAGUAGGUCUGUCUCUGUCUCGGUAAGCACUGAAGCGCUGUUCGAUACCAGGAAUGGUUAUAUUAUCUUCCUACCACCCCCCGCGCGGCACCGCGUAUCCUCGUACCCCAUUACAAGAUGGCCGUUCGCGUUUGCAAAAUGGCGCCUGCGCCACGCGAGUAAUUCGUCCACCCUGCCUCCCUUCGCCGCGUUACCUUCCCACGGUCGCUUUCAUCCCUCUCUCGUAUCCCAACUCGUCUCUACCCCGCCAAGGUGGGAGAGAACCCCACGCUCCUCGUCUCUUCGCUUUCCCUCUUGCUUCAUCCCGUUCCAAGAUUUUUCUCCCUCCGCCGUGGCUCGCACCGACCAUCUUCGCCGUCCACCACUCCUCCCCGCCCCUUCGUUAGAUCACCCCGAUCUCCCAUUCCUUUCGCUCGACCACUCAGACCGCUCUCAGAACAAGUGCUAUCCACACCUUCCUCGUUUCCCCUUUCCUCGAGGGUUACGUCUAUGAUUAUUUUGCGGCCUGCUAUCAACCGCGAGAGAUGGAAGAGGGCUAUUGGUUGUCGCUUCGAUUCAGCAUUUAUGGACGUUUCUAUCCGUCUAUUAGAUCCGCAUUCCACCUUUGUUAUAUUAACAAGUUUUACUGUUUUUCGUAAUAAAAAAUAAGAUGGUCAAAAUGCAAUCUUUCUAUGCUCUUCUUCUAUGCUUUCUAAAGGAUUAAAUUCUUUUCAUACAAUUUGAAAUAUAGUCUCACGUGAAGUUACAGUUCCCAGAGUAGAAACGAUAAAAAGACAUUAGCACGCGAUGCAUGCACCGAUCUAGUGCAAAAAAAUAAAUUUAUUAAUGACAGUUACAGUCGUCUGUGGAGUUUUUUACACAUACAAACGCGUUCUACAUCUCGACGUACCUAAUUUGAUUGUAAGUAUGUCUGAAAAAAGCUUUUUUAAAAAUUAAUGCAAAAGCGUAGCGAGAGAUCAAAUCCGAAUCAGGGAUAUUAAUAUUUUAAUAGAGAACAGACACUGUUUGUAUUUUCAUUAUUCUUAGUCGCAGAUAGCGGCAAAGAAAAUUGCGACAUUAAUAAGUGGAAUAUUCCACGCAGAUAAACUGACCUACAUCCCCAUGGCAGAAUAUUCCGUGCAGGCUAACACUACCUAUUCCGCCAUAGUGAUAUGAACCCAUUGUCAUUCAUAGCCGGGCGAUGCAAAUGUUUAAUGUUAUAGCCAUUAUAAAAUGCUCGAGUGUGGAAUGUGUGUGUUAUCUAAUAACGACAAAUAAAUUUUAUAUUAUUAUAAAUAUACACGGUACGAUUAUAUCGAAGUGAUAUUUCGGCGAAUGCCGUUUUUAUGUUGAAUAGAAGAGCUACAACUUCUUUUAGAUUGGAAUUUGAAGUAACCUUUUAACAAAUUUGUUGGUGCAAAAGGGAACACGAUAUCGAAACGAAUUAUAGGAAUAUUUGUUAUGGAAAAAUCAGGCCGCAUUAUUCGAUCUAAAUAGAAAGUUGUUGAUCAAAUUAAGAUUUAAAAAAUUCAUCACGUCGAAAUCGAAAUGAAGACUGAGGAAGAAGUUUAUCGAUCGGCACUGGGGCCGCGCUAACGACGUGAUUAUAUUUUUACUCAGGAAUAUACUCUCGUGCGUCCGUAUACGCGAAUGGUGCACACGUUUGUAUGCAGAUAAACCGCAGGAAUACUGUGGACAAGAGGAUUUGUCAAGAGUGCAAACCUGCGUGCGUAUGCGCCUCGAUAGUUUGUCGUGGCGGCUGGUCGUGACGUUAUGAUUAACGUCGUUGAAUUUCGCACAAGUUUUAUGCAUCGCGCGAGUGUCAGCGCUCGCGCAAUAUAUCUUGCGACUAGUCGCGAGGAGAUUCGAGAGCUUCGGCUAUCCCAACUAAAUAAGACCUGAAGCUGCGAUAUGGCACAGUCUCUUGCCCUCCUCCCUCCGCAAUUUCAUCCCUCGCAAACAACUUCUUUAACUUCUUGCGUGUUGAUAGCGACAACAGAGGAGACGCGACGAGAAAGAAGAUUUUCCAAAUAUGUUCGUGGUGAGUUACAAAAUGAGUAAAGCUUAAAAUAUAAUAACGUGAAUGGUUAAAGGCUCUUUUUUUUUUUAGACAAACUCUUUAAAUGGAUAAAAGCAGCGUCUUGGUUUUCGCCAUCAUUUUUUUAAACGCUUAUGUAGGUAUGCUUUGAUAUGAAUGUGUAUAACAUUUAUUGUAUUACCACGUAAUUAUCACGCUUCACAUUGCAGUCGCUAAUUUACAAUUAGUGGAACAUAAAACAUAAUUCAUUCGAUCCCAUUCACCAUCACUCAUCCUAUGUCACAUAAUUUAUAUUCGCGAUAAAUCAAUAUAAUAUUUCAUCGUCAACCGUAUCGCAUAAUCAAUUUGCAUUUAUUAAUUAUUCACUGGUAUAUGAACAAAUUCUUCUUAAUUAUUAUCUAACACAAAAUCGAUCAGUGUGUCUCGUUCGUAUCGUACGGUCAACAUAGAUUUGAAAAAUAUCGUAACUUACGAUAUAAAAAUAAUAAAAACUUAUGAAUAAUAAACAUAUCAAUUUCUCUGUUAAAUAAACAUUACAUCGAAACGUAAUGCCACUAACCGAGUUAUCACUUGAUGAUACCACGUGAUAAUCUCCAAUCGGUUAUCAGUCCGAAACUGCAGCUCGGGCUACAUCGCGUUGUCAUUUCUUUUCUUUUUCUUUCGCGAGCCAUUACACUCGGCGGAUAUCCACUCGGAGAGGAUCUCGGAGAGAUCUUUCCGGAACACAAUUAAAGCCCGGAAGCGCGAGAGAUCCAUCCCCUGUAAGACGUGGCUGUAACGCGAAGCGAGAGAGGUGGAUGCCGAUAGUGCGCCGCAUAAGGGAGAUAGAGGGUAAGUAGGGGAGGAGGGUGGAAGAGAUGGGAGUGAGAAAAGGGGGGAGUAAUGGUACAACGCCAGGGGUGGCUGACCCGAGUUUUCUCGACCCCUUAAAUUUCGGCUGAUACCACUUGUUGGCGGUCCAACGCGAAAAGAGCAACAGAUGACACUACGUUUUCAUUCGCCGGGAAACUGGAUGAGUAUGUUAUCUCCACUUAUCUGUUUCUCCCGCCGCUGAACCGCCGGCGAUUCAGCCGCGCGAAUGUACAUUGGGAAAAAUCCAAACGAAUCGUCGGUCGACCGCCGCGCCAGCCGGGUACGAUCAAAUAGGUAGAUAGAGUUGACCAAAUAUAUAAAACUGUACGUGUACGAAUAAAACGAAAACUUUUGCCUUUAUUUGCUGGUUUCGGCCGCGCUAUCUUAUCUCCGUACGCUUAAACGUCCCAAUUUAUUUCGGAAGGCUAAUUAAAGGACUCUCUCGGCACGAGUCAUAAAGCUUACCAGAGUGACUGUUCAUACCUUCUGAAUAUUCAAGACCAAAGUUCCCAGCAUCAGUAAUUAUGAUGACGUUACCGUUAAAAUACAAUGGAGUGAAUUAAAUAUUCACAAAUUACAGUAAUAUUUCAUAAUCUCAAUUACAUUGUGCUUUACUCGAUUACGGAAAUCGUAAAUGAAGAAAUCUUUUAGCUUAAUACAAAACGAAUAACUUAAAGAAAGCGCGCUUCGUUGGAAACGUUGGAAAACUUCAAAACGUUGGAAAACGAAAAUGGAUUCGCAAUAUAAAUGAUUAAUCUAAUAAAAUACAAAUCCGUCUGGUCUACAACAAAUCUUGUUACAUAAAUGACUGGAGAAGAGACACUUAAAAAAUAAGCUUUCAAUGUGUAUAGAACACACAAUAUAAUUUAUCGAAAGUUGCGGAAUAACUGCUACACGCUAAUUUCAUAUAAGCUUUAUAAAAAAAAUGUUAUACAAAUAUUUAAUUAUUAAUUUUUUCUCCCUUCGUGAAAUUAUAAAAAUUCGUUUAGAAUUUACUAAAGAUAAGAUAUUAACUCCAAAUAAUGCAUUUCUCAUUAUAUAAUACAAAAAUUAUAAUAGCAAUAUAGAUGCAAUUACUGAUUAAUUGAAUUAGGACAAUUUUACUUCACGAUGGUACUAUCCCUGUAAAGAUUGAGCAUAUCGAAUGUAUUGAAUAUUACAUUCAUAACGCGCAUUCUCCAAUUCGGCUCCACCAAAGUAAUUAUUAUAGUCGUUAUUAUCGCAUCGAAACAAUUCAUUGAUGUGUAUUAUGAUUAUCCGCCUCGUUAACACUGAAUUAAUAAUCGAGCGGUAACCCGUCUGGCACAGAUUACGCGUAGUUCAAUGCGAGAUAAGCAAACAAUACCACAAUCUUGCGCGAUCACUGCAAGAUAUUAUGUAUCUUGCGCAGUCUGGUACGGUCACUGUAUUUCGUAACGGUAGAUAUGCCAUAAUGAAAUCUUAGUUUAAUAUUUUGUUAUUUAAUGUUUUGUACUAAAUGCAAAGAAAGCUUAAUCAUUUGCUAAUAAUUAAAAGAUUUCGUUAAUUUAAUUCUUCUCUUCUACAUGGGUAAAUUUUUUGGGGGAAAAAAAAAGUUAAUCUAUUAAAGUUUAUGUAUUUAAAAAAUAACUAAGUUAAAGUUAAAAAUUAAAUCAUUUAAAAUUAACUAAGUAAAAAAAUUAAUUGGAUAACUUUAUUAUUUAACUUUCAACUUUUCAAUUACUUAUUAUAUCCCAACCUUGGUAUAUUUGUAUAGCUGGUUUUACAAUUUUCGUUAAAGAUUUUGAGACGUGUGAUCUGAACGAGGCGUUCGUACAAGAGCCAACGUUCGUUUGUCGAGCGAAAACAAUAGAGUGUUGACAUUGUUUCGUAUAAUAUUGUAAGAAUUAUAAGUAACGCAAUUGAGUUUACAGAUAUGCCAAUUUAGAUCAAUAUCGAACGUAUUAUGCAGUCAAUGGGACCAGAGCUAUUACAACCGUACGAUGUUCAGUUCCUAGAUCGCCCAUACAUGGGAGAUGCGCAUACACGAACAUCCGUUGGAUUGUAUGUCCGUUGGACUCAAUAGAAUAUCACAGAGAGAUGAUGAUACACUAUACCUAUGCAAACGGAUAUUAGGUUGGGCCAAAAUUGCAAGCCCAGAACAGAUUCUAUCAGAUUAUGUUAUCUUAUUUGAAAACAGCUUAUUUAAAUAGCAACCAUCAACAUUAACAUUUCGGAAAUUUUACGGACGUGUAAAAUUCCGGUUUAGAUUUUCCAUAAUACUCUCUAACUGAUCAAAAUUAAUCGCGAUACAAUUAAGACAGAUUUAUAGCUCUGACUUUGAUUCCAGUUUCUGUUAAGAUUAAAUUAGAAAUUAGAAAUUAUUAUCUCGAGUUACCCUUCUCAAUUGCAACUACUUGGAGAAGAAAUUUAAAGGGGCCUCAAAAACUCCAAGUCCCUUGCGCUACAAGAGACACCGCGUCACUUUGAAUAAUUAUUUUUAAAUGAAGCACGCGAGCUAUAUAUGCAAGGAGGCCGCGCGAGGGAACGGAACGAAGGGUGGUAAAGAGAGGAUCGGAAGCUUGAAGUAGGUCAGUAACGCCCGAUGUGUGUGACUGCCUGCCUGUUGGGCUUUUCCCUCUAUGGUGUCUACUCCCGCGGACGUGCUUCGUCCUUGAUCCCGUCGCGCGCUACCCCGCGCGAGAAUGGGGGCGAGAAUAACGUCCGUCUGUCCGUCCGUUUGUACGUGUGGCCCCGCGUAUGUGCGGGUGACAGCAUGCGUGCAUCGUCAAUCACUGACGUUCCAUGACCUCCGCGUGGAACAUCAGCCCUACACGCUGCACACUCUGUAUCCCUAUCCCUGUCGCCUUACCGCGUAGUGAGGUUUCUCCUCUCUCUACACCGAUGCACUUUACGUGCGCGCGCGUGCGGUACAUCUCUCUGGUGCCACCGCACGACAUGCACCAGGCAAUGUCGGUGUGAGAGAGCGUCUGCCCCGGCGCUGUUGCAAUCAAUACCAACUGAUGCAUUUGUACCCGUGGCUUUCGUGCUCGGCCGUUCGCAAGCAGUCCCCGUGCCAAUCACCAACCGUAUUCGCGUUGUUUCUUGUAAUAACUGGCUACCGUGUGGAUUUACGGAAUUCUUUGCGAAACGGCCAAAAAUACAGUUCAGAAAUCAAUGUAACUUCAAACGUAAAUUUCAAGCACGAUCAAAAUUAUUGACUCGAGAACCUAAUAUCUUUCAAGGAUGCUAAAACAAAUAUUGAGAGAACAGAACAUUUACGAAUGAUGAGUUAAUAGAUUAAAUACAUCCUCAAAAUUGGCAAAAUUAUCGUCCAGAAUGACCAAAAAUAUAGAACUUUAUCGGUUACAUGUGUGAAUAAAUUGUUGGUAUACAAAAAUAAAGCUUCAAAUAAUCUAUUUUAUUAAUUAUUAUUGGUUGCAUAAAUAGUUCGCUCGUUGCAUAAGUAACGAAUAGUUGAAAUUAAUGUAGAAACCAGAUUAUAUUCAAACAAAUAUUUAUCACCUUAAAACAAAUUGUCAAAGAAAAAUUGAUAAGUACAAAAAAAAAUUAAGUAUGCUUCCUUGGCAUUAAGGUAAUCUUACUUUUUUUUCAACGGAGAAACAUCGCAAUCACCACGCUUACGUCGCUACGUACCAUAGCAACAUCGGCACGCCAUCGGCGGUUUCAUGGCACCCUGCGGACCGCAUCCUGGCCCGGAAGAAGGACCGAAGGGAAAGAGCCGAUAAUGUCAAUGCGGCUUUUCCUCGCGUGUUUUGAACGGGCCACACGCUGUGCGCUGAGUGCCUCUAAAUGCAACCUAUUUACUCGGCGCACCGCCUACAGGAUGUCUCGGGGAGAAAUGACUACCACUUUAACAAGGGCUAAUGUAUACGUUUCCAAAAGAUUGUACCUUUCCGCUGCUGCAGCUAUUGUUUUGCGUCGAGACGUCCUAGCGUGUACCUUCGUUCUAACACAAUUUCUAACAUUUUUUUAUGAUAAUAUCACCAAUCUAUUUAGCGAUCAUCGAGUUGCCAUGUCAACAGAUUUCUGGGAUUUUUAUACAGAAGAGAGCGGAAAGAGAGAGAGAGAGAGAGAGAGAGAGCAAAAGAGUUAAAUAUUUAAAAAAGUAAACAAGUAAAAAUAAUUUUUACAAGCAAAAGUUGCCAAUUCAAACUUUAUACCUGUGGAAAUAUGUGUUAAUUAAUUUUAAUUUUUAGUUCUUGAGAGUUAUCCAAAUUAACUAGUUUAUUUCAGUGCCUUCGGAAAUUAUUUGAAAAAUAAAAAGUGACACAUACUCCGUCGUUAAUAAUGUCUGCUGAAAUUAAUGCACGACGGUAGUACCGUUUCCGAUACAUUAAUUAUCGCAAUAUUUAUAAGGCUGGUAGUUACGUACGCCUAUCGCUAUUCCCGCGAGUGCCAUUGUUUCUCUGUCGCUGCACCGAAUAAUCCAUAAAUUCACUUGAUUUUAAAAAUGAUAAACGAAAUCUCUCAGGUACGAGAAAAACGCUCGUUAAGCUAAAUAAAGACGCUUCUUAAUAAUAUUAUUUCGAAGCGAGUCAACUUAUACAGACGCAACACAGGUGUAAUUUGACGCAAAUUAGAUUAAAACAGAGAAUUUACUCGAAGAAAAAAAAUUUUUUUUCAACUGUUUUCAGUAGUAUAAUCGCACUUGAUAACUUUGACUCGACUAAUAUCUAAUAUGGUAAUUUUCUGUCUGAAAAAGUGCUAUCGGCGAGUGUCUUGGAAGUUCACAAACUCGUUGAAACUCGUUGCUUCGGAAUAGAUAGAAGAGAAGCUGAUCAAUUACAGCAUAUUCAGGAAACGAAGCUUUAUGCUGAAUCACGCGGGACGACGACGAAGGAAACGAGGCAGGGUGAAAACAGGGCGAGCGAUAGCAGAAAAAGAAAGAGAGGAGGAAACUAAGGGAGAGAGGGCGCGAUGUCAGAGAGGUCAGAAAAUUACAGGCAAGGGUGCAUACUUUGGCCGAGUUCACCAGCGACGCUGUUUCUUUUCCUUUCUAUUGCCCUGGCUUAUUCCUCGCUUCCUAUUCCUCUCCUCGGGCGUCCUCUCCUCGUAUAAUCCGCAAAUUACUAACCUAACCCCCGAGCGUCUUAAAGAUCAAGCCUUGUUCGAGGUAGAUUCAAAGGAGGUAAUACCCGCCCAGGACUUGGCAAGAAUCCGCCGCAAAAAACCCGCGAAAGAACGAUGAAAUACUCUCUCCUUUGCUAGGGAGACUCUGCGUUUUCCUCUUUCUUACCGGCGCUAGCUGUCUGCCUUUGGCUAGUCGUGUUUCUUAUACGUAGCGGUCGUAGCGCUGACAUUUGAAAUACUCUCUCGCUUACCAGAGAUCGCGUCCCCGCGUUUGAUACGUGGAACAAAUUUACGACGUUUUUCGAUGAAGCCCGAAAAUCGCGAGUUAGUCACAAAAAAGAGGAGAUAUGUUCGGACUAUUCCCGGGGACGUUAAUGCUCUGCCAAGUGGCUGAAAGUAUCAUCCACCGUACAGCGGAAAUCUCGUCUCGAAGAAAGAGACCAAAGUGAAUUUAAUCUCUUUUUAUAUUCUCCCAUGUACAUAAAUAUAGCUAGCGCGUCUCGCUCUUCAAGUGAUGUGCCUAUAAAACGAGUACUAAGGAAAUCUAUUUAUAAUAUAACUCGAAGAGUGUGUAACUUGGAAGAAAAUCCAAUAAUCUAUUUUAUUAUUCGAAUGACCUGAAUAUUAUCCGAUAAGUCCGAUGAAAUUUUAUCCUACGACUUAAAUGAUUACUGGGAUAAAUUGUGCUCCAACAUUUUGCUUACUGCGCGUUAUUUUUACAUUUCAAGAAAUAUAAUUUUCUUUAAUUAAGCAAAAAUCGAUUUAAUGAAUUCCAAUACGAAACUCUACGGUAUUCCGACGUUAUAAUGUACAUUAAGUACUUUUAGAAUUGUUGCCAUAAAAUUUAAGUCGUACGAUAUCAUGUAAUAUUUAGAAUCCGUACUUCCUCUCUCUUCUUCUCAUUUUCUCUACUUUAUACACGAGUAAGCAUUUAUCUCUGUAAAAUUAAUUCUCUUUUUUGGAAUACAGUACGAUAUAAUUAUAUAUUAUAUAUUUUAUAAAAAAUAAGAGAUUUAAUAUAUUAUUAUAAAAUAUAUAAUAUUAUAUAUUUUUAUAAAAUAUCUUCAUCUCUAUAUCUUUUUUGGAAUACAUUUCGAUAUAAUUAUAUCAGAUAGCAAUGUUCUAAUUAUAAGUUUCUAUGAAUUAAAUUGAGAAUAUUUAAUAAUUUUUUAAAGUAUUAAAUAAUAUUAAAACAGACACAUCUAUCUAAAAAUACUCAAAUUGACUUCAAUUAAAAUGAAGUUAUUAUCAAUUUCUUUCACACAAUUAAAAUUAAGAUAUUAUGUCGUAAUUUUUUAUUUCUUACAUUUAUUCACUAAAAUCGUUAUUCUUUUAUUAAAAAC